CCUACGGGAGGCAGCAGUGGGGAAUAUUGGACAAUGGGCGAAAGCCUGAUCCAGCAAUGCCGCGUGAGUGAUGAAGGCCUUUGGGUCGUAAAGCUCUUUUACCAGGGAUGAUAAUGACAGUACCUGGAGAAUAAGCUCCGGCUAACUCCGUGCCAGCAGCCGCGGUAAUACGGAGGGAGCUAGCGUUGUUCGGAAUUACUGGGCGUAAAGAGUACGUAGGCGGUUAUUCAAGUCAGAGGUGAAAGCCCGGGGCUCAACCCCGGAACUGCCUUUGAAACUAGAUAACUAGAGUCUUGGAGAGGUUAGUGGAAUUCCGAGUGUAGAGGUGAAAUUCGUAGAUAUUCGGAAGAACACCAGUGGCGAAGGCGACUAACUGGACAAGUACUGACGCUGGGGUACGAAAGCGUGGGGAGCAAACAGGAUUAGAUACCCUGGUAGUCCACGCCGUAAACGAUGAUAACUAGUUGUUCGGUCACUUGGUGACUGAGUGACGCAGCUAACGCAUUAAGUUAUCCGCCUGGGGAGUACGGUCGCAAGNUUAAAACUUAAGGAAUUGACGGCUGAGANGCGACGACGACGACGAGGAGAG
rnacentral:rRNA from 1 species